UCAACUUUAGGUGAAGGAACUGCUAUAUC
rnacentral:piRNA from 1 species